rnacentral:lncRNA from 1 species
GCAGGCUCUUCCUACUCGCACAGCCCAGGGAGUGGGGAGGAUAAGGCGCUGUCAUGGAGGACGCCGCCGCGCCGGGGCGGACCGAGGGGGUCCUUGAAAGGAGCCCUGGUGGAGCUCACCCCGACCCCCGGCGGCCUGGCCCUGGUGAGCCCCUACCACACCCACCGGGCCGGGGACCCCUUAGACCUCGUGGCGCUCGCAGAGCAGGUGCAGAAGGCUGAUGAAUUCAUCCGAGCAAAUGCCACCAACAAGCUGACAGUCAUAGCUGAGCAAAUCCAACAUUUGCAAGAACAAGCCAGGAAGGUACUGGAAGAUGCUCACAGAGAUGCCAACCUGCACCAUGUAGCUUGUAAUAUAGUGAAAAAACCUGGCAACAUUUACUAUCUCUAUAAACGGGAGAGUGGUCAGCAGUAUUUUUCCAUCAUUUCUCCAAAGGAAUGGGGGACAAGUUGUCCACAUGACUUCCUUGGUGCCUACAAACUACAGCAUGACUUGUCCUGGACUCCGUAUGAGGACAUUGAGAAGCAAGAUGCUAAAAUCAGCAUGAUGGACACGUUGCUAAGCCAGUCAGUGGCCCUGCCUCCGUGCACUGAACCCAACUUCCAGGGACUGACUCACUGAGAGUGGGCUUUGACAAACAGCUCUCACAGGACCUGGCUGUCAACCUCCUUGUUGCCCCCACUGUUGCCUUGAGAAUUGAAGACAUGUAGGUGACUCACAAACUUCUUGGAAAGAGACCCUGUGUGAAUGUAAAUGCUGUCAUUAUGACUUUUAAUUGGGAUGGGAAUAAUCAUUGAGACAGAGUCACUGUCUUUCGGGAUCCUCUUUGGACCACAGAUACCCAAGUCAGUCAGUUUCAGAGUAUUGGCCAGUGUACUUUCCUUCUUCCUCUCCAUCACUUCUUCCCUUAAGUUAAAGUGUUAGAGAAGACCUUCUUCCCAUAAAAAGGUUGGUGGAUCGUUUUCCAGAGAGAACUGUUUUCAGUCUUUUAUAUAUAU